rnacentral:rRNA from 1 species
AUUGAACGCUGGCGGCAGGCCUAACACAUGCAAGUCGAACGAGUGGCGGACGGGUGAGUAAUGUCUGGGAAACUGCCCGAUGGAGGGGGAUAACUACUGGAAACGGUAGCUAAUACCGCAUACCAUCGGAUGUGCCCAGAUGGGAUUAGCUUGUAGGUGAGGUAACGGCUCACCUAGGCGACGAUCCCUAGCUGGUCUGAGAGGAUGACCAGACAGACUGGAACUGGGACACGGUCCAGAGUCCUACGGGAGGCAGCGGUGGUGAAUGUGGCAAAAGGGGCGCAAGCAUGAGGCAGCCAUGCAGCGUGUAUGAAGAAGGCAUUCGGGUUGUAAAGUACUUUCAGUGGGGAGGCGUUACCCGCAGAAGAAGCACCGGCUAACUCCGUGCCAGCAGCCGCGGUAAUUC